GGCCUCGUAGCUCAGCUGGUAGAGUGUACGCUGUACAAAAGCGUAGGCAACGCCCAUGCGUGGAUUCGAAUCCCACCGAGGCUA
rnacentral:tRNA from 1 species